AACGAACGCUGGCGGCAUGCCUAACACAUGCAAGUCGAACGAGACCUUCGGGGCUAGUGUCGCAGGGGUGAGUAACGCGCGGGAACCUGCCCUUAGGAUCGGAAUAACUCCCCGAAGGGGGUGCUAAUACCGAAUAAUGUCUUCGGCCCAAACAUUUAUCGACCUUGGAUGGGCACGCGUUGGAUUAGCUAGUUGGUAGGGUAAAAGUCUACCAAGGCGACGAUCCAUAGCUGGUCAGUGAGCAUGGUCAGCGACUCUGGCGCUGUGACCCGGCCCAGACUCCUACGGGAGGCAGCAGUGGGGGAUAUUGCACAGUCGGCGGAAUGCUGAUCCAGCUAGGCCGCGUGAGCGAUGAAGGUCUUAGGGUUGUAAAGCGCUUUUACCCGGGAUGAUAAUGACGGUACCGGGUGAAUAAGCUCCGGCUAACUCCGUG
rnacentral:rRNA from 1 species